UGAGGAAUCUUCCACAAUGGGCGAAAGCCUGAUGGAGCAACGCCGCGUGCAGGAUGAAGGCCUUAGGGUUGUAAACUGCUUUUAUAAGUGAAGAAUAUGACGGUAACUUAUGAAUAAGCACCGGCUAACUACGUGCCAGCAGCCGCGGUCAUACGUAGGGUGCAAGCAUUAUCAGGAGUGACUGGGCGUAAAGAGUUGCGUAGGUGGUUUGUUAAGUGAAUAGUGAAAUCUGGCGGCUCAACCGUACAGGCUAUUAUUCAAACUGGCAAACUCGAGAAUGGUAGAGGUAACUGGAAUUUCUUGUGUAGGAGUGAAAUCCGUAGAUAUAAGAAGGAACACCAAUGGCGUAGGCAGGUUACUGGACCAUUUCUGACACUGAGGCACGAAAGCGUGGGGAGCGAACC
rnacentral:rRNA from 1 species